AACGUAGGGGACAAGCGUUAUCCGGAUUUACUGGGCGUAAAGCGCCCGUAGGCGGCCUGACAAGUUGGACGUGAAAGCUCCUGGCUUAACUGGGAGAGGCCGUUCAAAACUGUCAAGCUAGAGUCUGGAAGAGGAGAGCGGAAUUCCCGGUGUAGUGGUGAAAUGCGCAGAUAUCAGGAGGAACACCGGUGGCGAAGGCGGGUCUCUGGGCCGAUACUGACGCUGAGGAGCGAAAGCGUGGGGAGCGAACAGG
rnacentral:rRNA from 1 species